rnacentral:tRNA from 1 species
UCCGCCGAAUGUAGUGGCCAAGCAUGGCGGGCUCUGGACCCGCUGACGAGAGUUCGAAUCUCUCCCGGGCUACCA